GACGAACGCUGGCGGCGUGCUUAACACAUGCAAGUCGAGCGGUAAGGCCCUUUCGGGGGUACACGAGCGGCGAACGGGUGAGUAACACGUGGGUGACCUGCCCUUAGCUCUGGGAUAAGCCUGGGAAACUGGGUCUAAUACCGGAUAUGACUCCAUGACGCAUGUUGUGGGGUGGAAAGCCUUGUGCGGCUAGGGAUGGGCCCGCGGCCUAUCAGCUUGUUGGUGGGGUGAUGGCCUACCAAGGCGACGACGGGUAGCCGGCCUGAGAGGGCGACCGGCCACACUGGGACUGAGACACGGCCCAGACUCCUACGGGAGGCAGCAGUGGGGAAUCUUGCGCAAUGGGCGAAAGCCUGACGCAGCGACGCCGCGUGAGGGAUGACGCCCUCGGGU
rnacentral:rRNA from 1 species